rnacentral:rRNA from 1 species
GUGACAGUAGGUUGGUCGUGCCACCGGUACGUACUGGUCUCACUGAUUCCUCCUCCCUGAAGAACCGUAAUGCCAUUAAUUUGGUGUUGCGGGGAAACAGGACUGUUACUUUGAAAAAAUUAGAGUGUUUAAAGCAAGCUAACGCUUGAAUACAUUAGCAUGGAAUAAUGAAAUAGGACGAUCGAUCCUAUUUUGUUGGUUUCUAGGAUUGACGUA